rnacentral:rRNA from 1 species
CAGCAGCCGCGGUAAUACGGAGGGUGCGAGCGUUAAUCGGAAUUACUGGGCGUAAAGCGCAUGCAGGUGGAUGAUUAAGUCAGAUGUGAAAGCCCGGGGCUCAACCUCGGAACAGCAUUUGAAACUGGUCAUCUAGAGUACUGUAGAGGGGGGUAGAAUUUCAGGUGUAGCGGCGAAAUGCGUAGAGAUCUGAAGGAAUACCGGUGGCGAAGGCGGCCCCCUGGACAGAUACUGACACUCAGAUGCGAAAGCGUGGGGAGCAAACAGGAUUAGAUACCCUGGUAGUCCACGCCGUAAACGAUGUCUACUUGGAGGUUGUGGCCUUGAGCCGUGGCUUUCGGAGCUAACGCGUUAAGUAGACCGCCUGGGGAGUACGGUCGCAAGAUUAAAACUCAAAUGAAUUGACGGGGGCCCGCACAAGCGGUGGAGCAUGUGGUUUAAUUCGAUGCAACGCGAAGAACCUUACCUACUCUUGACAUCCAGAGAACUUUCCAGAGAUGGAUUGGUGCCUUCGGGAACUCUGAGACAGGUGCUGCAUGGCUGUCGUCAGCUCGUGUUGUGAAAUGUUGGGUUAAGUCCCGCAACGAGCGCAACCCUUAUCCUUGUUUGCCAGCACUUCGGGUGGGAACUCCAGGGAGACUGCCGGUGAUAAACCGGAGGAAGGUGGGGACGACGUCAAGUCAUCAUGGCCCUUACGAGUAGGGCUACACACGUGCUACAAUGGCGCAUACAGAGGGCAGCCAACUUGCGAGAGUGAGCGAAUCCCAAAAAGUGCGUCGUAGUCCGGAUUGGAGUCUGCAACUCGACUCCAUGAAGUCGGAAUCGCUAGUAAUCGUAGAUCAGAAUGCUACGGUGAAUACGUUCCCGGGCCUUGUACACACCGCCCGUCACACCAUGGGAGUGGGCUGCAAAAGAAGUGGGUAGUUUAACCUUCGGGAGGACGCUCACCACUUUGUGGUUCAUGACUGGGGUGAAGUCGUAACAAGGUAGCCGUA